UAGGGAAUCUUCCGCAAUGGGCGAAAGCCUGACGGAGCAACGCCGCGUGAGUGAUGAAGGUCUUCGGAUCGUAAAACUCUGUUAUUAGGGAAGAACAAAUGUGUAAGUAACUAUGCACGUCUUGACGGUACCUAAUCAGAAAGCCACGGCUAACUACGUGCCAGCAGCCGCGGUAAUACGUAGGUGGCAAGCGUUAUCCGGAAUUAUUGGGCGUAAAGCGCGCGUAGGCGGUUUUUUAAGUCUGAUGUGAAAGCCCCCGGCUCAACCGGGGAGGGUCAUUGGAAACUGGUUGACUUGAGUGCAGAAGAGGAGAGUGGAAUUCCAUGUGUAGCGGUGAAAAUCGUAGAUAUAUGGAUGAACACCAGUGGCGAAGGCGACUCUCUGGUCUGUAACUGACGCUGAGGCUCGAAAGCGUGGGUAGCAAACAGG
rnacentral:rRNA from 1 species